UACGUAGGGUGCGAGCGUUGUCCGGAUUUAUUGGGCGUAAAGAGCUCGUAGGCGGUUUGUCGCGUCGGCCGUGAAAUCUCCACGCUUAACGUGGAGCGUGCGGUCGAUACGGGCAGACUAGAGUGCGGUAGGGGAGAUCGGAAUUCCUGGUGUAGCGGUGAAAUGCGCAGAUAUCAGGAGGAACACCGGUGGCGAAGGCGGAUCUCUGGGCCGUAACUGACGCUGAGGAGCGAAAGCAUGGGGAGCGAACAGG
rnacentral:rRNA from 1 species